CCCCACCAUCGCCAGACGAGCUCCCCUGAUUUAUAGGCCUCGGCUCUUGAUAAGAUCGGGCCGCGCGGGUGUACAGCCGGGGAGGGAGACUUUGCAGCGCAGAAACAAGAUCCUCUGCACCAGGGAGAGGGGGGCUACGAAGGAAAGGGGGGAAAUAUCCUCUGGCUGUAUUGGGGUGGACGGAUCAGCCCGGGACCUAAGCUGCUUGCCCCCCACACUCCCAAAAAAAACCCCACCCCACAUUUAUUUUCUUUUUUCUCUGGCUUUGCUCCAUCUAUGUCCCCAAAGGGUCCCAGCAGGCAAGCGGAGGCCAUUGAUGUCCAUUUCUCGCAGCCUGGAGAUGCGCAAAGCGGGAUCAGAAGAUCUCUUGCAAAGAGAGGCGAGCCGGGGCCGCUUCCUUUCCCAAGAGGAGGCUGGAGGCGAACUCCGGGCAAAGAGCGCAUUUCUCGUUACCGGUGGUUUGCUAGAACGUAAGCCUGCGAUUAUCCGCGGAGAAGGGACUGAGCCUGACCAAGGAAGACGGGUGGAUAUUUUUAAAUGCUCCUUUUCCAGACGGGUCCCGAAAUAAGCCAGCGAAUUAGACGUGGAAGUCAGCAGCCAAUCUGCCAUUGAACUUGAUCGACUUGUCCAAACAAUGACAAAAACGCUCCUACUAUUAAACAGCACGUUGGUUGUGUCACCAGUUUCAGGUGGGUUAGCACCUUCUCCGCUUGUUUAGGUUCCACCACAGAGCUUGCUCCUUUUAUUACAAUAUUAAAAUGGAUUUAAACAACAAAACAAACAAAAAACAAAAAAAACCCACUGCUAUUCAAACAAUACAGGAUUCUUCAAACCCAAAGGACAUUUUGGGAACAAGGGCAAGGAGGCCUGAGGAACAAAGGGGACUUUCAUGGAUUAAGCCGAAAUAUUUGGAUGUUUAGAGUUCAAAACUGACUGAACUGGGUUGUGUAUGAAUCUGUGGUCGCGAAAUGUACGGAGAGGAUAAUUUAGGCUGCAACCUUAAACACAUUUGCUUAUUGAACCCAGUGGGGGGGGGUGUCUCUGAGGAAACGUGAUCAAGUUCGCUUGGCGAGAAAAAGUACUUCCUGAAAUACUAAAUUUCAAUUAAUUGUAAGUUAUUAAAUUUUGUUGGUGGUAUAAAAUAUAUUUGGACGCAUUUAUUGAUUUGUUCAUCGGAUAUAUAUAUAUAUAUAUAUAUAUAUAUAUAUAUAUAUGGCGCAUCUAACUGGAUUUGUCGGUCUGCUUUGCCAGAAUAGCCCUUGUUUUGAUCCUAAACUCAAACGAGUAAAGAGGUGCAUGAUCCCGUUGCCAAAAACGGCAAAGGCCGCUGCGAUCCA
rnacentral:lncRNA from 1 species